AUUGAACGCUGGCGGCGUGCUUAACACAUGCAAGUCGAGCGGUAACAGGUGUAGCAAUACAUGCUGACGAGCGGCGAACGGGUGAGUAAUGCUUCGGAAUCUGCCCAGUAGUGGGGAAUAACGUAGGGAAACUUACGCUAAUACCGCAUACGAACUACGGUUGAAAGCAGGGGAUCGCAAGACCUUGCGCUAUUGGAUGAGCCGAAGUCGGAUUAGCUAGUUGGUGAGGUAAAGGCUCACCAAGGCGACGAUCCGUAGCUGGUCUGAGAGGACGACCAGCCACACUGGGACUGAGACACGGCCCAGACUCCUACGGGAGGCAGCAGUGGGGAAUAUUGGACAAUGGGGGCAACCCUGAUCCAGCGACGCCGCGUGUGUGAAGAAGGCCUGCGGGUUGUAAAGCACUUUUAGUGGGGACAAAAAGCCGACGGCUAAUACCUUUCGGUCUUGAUUUAACCCAAAGAAAAAGCACCGGCUAACUCUGUGCCAGCCGCCGCAGUAAAAC
rnacentral:rRNA from 1 species